GGCGAGCGCAGCCCGCGGCGGUGCUCCUGUCAGCGGCGGCUCGGGGGCCAGCUCUCGCCCCUCGGCUCGGCUCGGCGGCGGCGGGCGCCUCGCUCCGCCUAGCGCGCGGCACAGCCCGGAGAGACAGGGUCUUGCUAUGUUGCCCAGGCUGGUCUGGAACUCUGAGCUCAAACAGUCCUCCUACCUCAGCCUCUCAAAGUGCUGGGAUUACAGGAUUUAGAAAGAAUGAAAAACUAUGCUGCUGAUGCUGUCAGCUUCCCAGAAUCCUCUCCCAAGUUAAUUCAAUUAGGCAUGCUCGCUCUCUGUCACCCAGGCUGGAGUGCAGUGGUGCAAGAUCAUAGCUCAUUGCAGCCUCGAACUCCUGGACUCAGGCAAUCCUCCUGCCUCAGCUUCCUGUGUGCAAUGACUCUUCAAUCACCUGCCCAGAAGAGACAUGUAUCACUUCCGCUCACAUUGCAUUGGCUAAACAACAUGGAUGCAUCUGAAGGCCAUUAUCCUAAGCAAACUAAUGCAGAAACAGAAAGCCAAAUACUGCAUGUUCUCACUUAUAGGAGGACAAACUUGGAAACUACAUUUCCCUGAUCUUGCCAACAGUAUUCAGCCCGGACUCCACCAAUGAGAGGCACUUGCAUGAGAUUUGGUAGGGAAGAAAAGGAGAAGCCAUUGUUUUCUCGAGGCAGCAGCAGAUGGCUGACAUGGAAUUUUGCCUAAAACUUUUGGGUGUUCUCCUGAAAAUACUCCAACUGGCUCUACAGGCAGCUGAGAGCAAUGGCAGCGGCUUCCUUGUGAUUCCUGCACUACCAGAUUUCCUGAAAGAGGUGUCCCGAUCACUAUCACUCUUGCAGCUUUCCUAGAGUUAUUUAAGCCUUUAAUUCCCUGUAUAAGCCUCCUUCUAUCUGAGAUACCUAGAGGGGUAUCUGUUUUUCUGACUGUACCAUAGCAGAUAAAAGGACCUAGUCUGCAAGCUUCCACUGGAAAUUCUAGGAGAGUGAAACUUGAGGUAGAGGUCCCCUAAGUCCCUUAGAGCAGUUGCAAUGGUACCUUUGGAAUUGAUGGUUCUUGACUUUAGGGAUUGUGAGCUUUUUCCAAGUAGUCACCCAAACCUGUGCUUGUUGGAUCUAAGAAAAUAGAGCUCAUGUAUGAAAUGAAAACAAUUAACAUUGAAUCUAUAAAGCUGUAUAAUCUACUGAGACAAAAGAAAUGGGAUAGAAAAAGUUUAAUGUUUUACUACACACAUGUAACUGCAUAAAAUGUAUCUGAAGAGCACACAAGAAACAGACAGCAGAGCAGAGAACUAAGUGGAGAUUAUGGUUUGAAUGAUGGUGUUCCCUCCAAAUUUCAUGUUGAAACUUGAUCCUUAUCGUGGUGACUUUAAAGGCAUGGGGCCUUUUAGGAGGUAAUCAGGUCAUGAGGGUUCUUCCCUCAUGAAUGGGAUUAAGAUCUUUAUAAAAGAGGCUUCACACGGAGCUUGACCCUUUCUUGCCCUCUGUCUCUGUCUCACACGAGGACACACUGUUCCUCCUCUCCAGAGGAUGCAGCAACAAGGCACCAGCUUGGAAGCAGAGAUCAAACCCUUAUCAGAUGCCAAACCUGCUUAUGCCUUGAUCUGGGACUUCCCAGCCUCCAGAACCAUGAGAAAUAAAUUUCUAUUGUUUGUGAAUUACCCAGUCUAUGGUAUUUUGCACAAACGAACUAAGACAGUGGCUAACGGGCAGGGGCUGAGGGAGGACUUGCUUUCCACUGUAUAUGCUCCUGUAGCUUCUGAAUUUUAUACUGUGUGCAUGUAUUAUCUACUCCAAAAUUAUAUUAAUGUUUAAUAACAUGAGUUGCAUACCAUUUUAUAAUCAUCACAUUUUCAAAAACCACAAACUCUUACAAUAUAAAAUGUUGAACAUGGAACAAGUAAAUGAGAAUUUACACCUACUGUUUGUGGGAGUCUGUAGAACUACUUACCAGGGUCUGUGGAUGAAUGUCAAUCUGGUAAUAUCUAGUAAAGUUUAAAUGCACAAA